rnacentral:rRNA from 2 species
GAUUUCUGGGCAUUGACGCCUGGCCGGCCACGGUUUCGUGUGUUAGUGCUGGAGCGUGAGGUCCAUCCUUCCACACGUCGUUCGCUGUUCUUCAUUGAAUGGUGCAGCGGCGGUGGAUCGUUUACUUUGAAAAAAUUAGAGUGUUUCAAGCAGGCUGCUCGCUAUGAAUACAUUAGCAUGGAAUAAUGAUUUAGGACUUCGGUUCUAUUUUGUUGGUUUCUAGGACUGAAGUAAUGAUUGAUAGGGAUAGUUGGGGGUGCUAGUAUUCAGCGGCCAGAGGUGAAAUUCUCGGAUUCGCUGAAGACUAACUUAUGCGAAAGCAUU